rnacentral:tRNA from 2 species
UCCCUUGUAACUCAGUUGGUUAGAGUGUUCGACUGUUAAUCGAGAAGCCACCGGUUCGAAUCCGGUCAAGGGAG